UUAUUAUACAGCAACCUUAAAUAUCUUGCUCCCGCCAAUGCUCCUCCCUGCCAGCUUACAUUCAAGAGAGAACCAAGAAAGAAAGAAGAACCACCAGAACUGGCCACUGGGCACACAAGAGUCUCCAAGCAAUUACUAAAGAAUGGACAAAUUUCAGUUCCCAGAAGACCAGGAGCCAUGUGUGUUCUCUCUUCAUGGGUAGUUCAGAUAAACAAAUGUAAUGGUUCCAGAGCAAGGAUUUCACAAUGCUAACAACCGUGGACAUCAAAAAAGAACAGGUUAGUCUUUGACACAUCCAUACUAAGUUAACCAGUCAACAAAGCCACCAACCUACAGAGUCCACAGUUCACCUCAAGAGCAAGCAUUCUUAAGAACUGGCUAAGUUUAUAAGAUUCCUAAGAAAACCUUCAUUUGUGAAAUAGCAAAUUUUAAGCAUUCUUCUCGUGAAUGUAGGAAAAGAAUAUUUACAUGGACACUAUAGACUUGGAAAUGUGCCUAUCUUAUCUGCCCUGCCCUUUACCCUAUUUGGUAACCUGGAGAGUCAGAGGGCAGACAUUUCAACAGACUCCACGAAGCAUAAUGGAUCACAGCACAUGAAUCUUUCCACUGGUAAUUCAUUAUUGUGAAUUUGAAGUCCACUUCUGUGUUAUUUAAAUGUGUUACCUCUGAUCCAGUUCUUACAAAACUUUUUUGAAAAUACCACAAUAUUGGUUGCCUCCUUUCCAGUUGCUCCUAGGGGCUUCCCUUUUAAUUCCUUAACUUUCAUUUUAGAUCAGUUGUAGACAGAGAUGAAAGAUAAAUGUGUGUGGCAAACCUUAACAAUGGUACCAAGGAGUCCUGAGCUCUCUGCACAGAUACCCUCUUCACUAUUUUAUGUACCUGUUUAUCUACUGCACGUGCGCUCAUAACAUCACUGUGGCCUCUAACCUUGUCUCUUGAAUAUAUUGUACCACAGAACUUCUAGUUUCUUCUCUCUUCAAAGUUACAGGUAAAAGAGACAAUGCUUUCUCAAAAUGUACGUGAACAAAUAGGGCUUUCCCCAUAUACUUAGUAGGAAAUUUAAUUAAUGUAAGUUCUUUUGUUUUGGAAUUUAGGUGUUCUAGCAAAUUCACCCCCAAGAUCAGCGAUUGCCUAUGCAAUUCAUGAAGAGGGGCAGAGGAAGUUGCUUUUUAAAAAUUGUACUGGGAAAAGAUUUAGUGUGGUAAACUCAGCUACCAUUUCUGCAAAGUGAAUUAGGGUUCUUUUCGUUUAGGGUUAUCCACAUCAAAGCAUCCCCAUACUAACUCUCAUGACCUUGCCUUUUUUUCCUUUUCUGUAGUUUCAGUGUAUUUGCCAUGGUCUUAAGGUAACUCCUAGGGAAAUAGGGAAUGUCUUCUGGUAUUGUGACUAAAGGAUGCUUAAGCAGUAUGACAACAAGACAUUCAUUAUGCCAAGGUAAAGCAGUCAAUGAUCUAUGAAGAAAAUAGAACCUCAUGCUUAGUAUUUCCAAAGUGCUUUCCAAGAGGGAUUGUAGCCAUGUACUAAAGGGGGGAAAUAGACUCAAGUAAUUUUAUAAGACAAAAGGAUGAGAGGUGUGGACUCUCAUCACUUUAAAAACACAUGAAGUGCUCCCAGUCUGAGUUUUUCCCAAGCAAAGAGCCCUUGACUAGGUAGAAGAAAAGUUCUUCAAAAUGCAUCAGCCAGAAGCACUGUGCUAAAUUGCCCAAUUACUCAUGUUCUGUAGAAAUGUUGAAGAUGUGGUUCACGCACUCAUCUGAUAGUUCAUUUCCAAUCACAAUGGACAACCAAGCAAUUCGCUUUUCCUAUUCUGGGGCUAGGGAAGUGAGUAUGGUCAUAAGCUAAACAUGCAUGGCUACUGUGUAUAUCUGAAGAGGCUACAGCCCAAUUAGAUUAUUUUCUCUUUUUGGUAAACUGGUGAGUAGGAGCAGGAGAAGAGUCAAGACAAGAUUGUCACUCAAGCCAGCAUGUCAAUAAGCCCAAGACCUUGCUUUGCACCAAACCCAGUGGAUGAGAGUGGGAAGGUGAGACUGAAUGAUGUUCUAGGGGGCAAGCAAAUGAGACUCAUUAGCUGUUUCUCUUUCCAAAGUCCAGAGACCCCUAAUGAAGCUGUAUGAGGGAAACGUUGUCAACGUGCAUGUUUCCUCCAAGCAUGGGCAUUAGUAGGUCACUGAGUCUCAGAAGAAAGGAAAAGAAGUAAUGCAUACCCUGUGAUGUAAUUCAUGUCAAAUGGGCCAUCUAAUGAGUAAGGCAUAAUAAGUGUACAGUUGGGUCUGUGUAAGUCGCCACUUUCAUGCCAUCAAUUAGCCCUACACACUCAGCUGAAACAAAAGAAGCAGGUCUUGUUGCUGCUGGAGUUAUGACAAGCCUACCUCUUCCUCAUCACUGCCUGUUCCCUCAGAGUGCAUAGGUCCUCUACGUAAGAGCAGUGAAGCUAAAAGAAGGAACUAAUCUUGGUCUAGCUUCCCUUAUGUAUGUUGUGUGCACAUGAUGAAUCAGAAUAAUCAGUUUCUAGAACACAGUUGUCAGAGUGGUUUCUCAUAUGCUAUUUUGCUGCAAAUAGAAAAGAGCCAACUUAGCAUGUGGAAUCGUGGGCUCUGGAUUAAAAAAAAAAUCAAACAGUUAAAGACGGUAUGAAAAGGGCAGUUGAGGAAUUAUGGGUAAAGUCGUUUCUGCAUAAACAGGAGUCCUGAGGUUGGAUCUAUAGGGCCCAUGUGAGAACCAGCCACAGCUUUACCAGCCUGCAAUCACAGCACUGUGACAUAGAGCUGGGAUCCCAGCAACUUGCUCAGUACCCGGGUUCAGUGACGAGAUUCUGUCUCCAAAAAAGUGAGAUAAGGAAGCAAUUAAAGAAAGCCUUCCAAUGUUGACUGCUGGCACAUGCCCACGCUCAUAUGCAGGAGCUCAUAUACAUGCAUAUGUCACACAAAUAAAGAACUUAGAUUGGAUGUAAGUCUAGGCUUGCUGGUUAAACAUUAUCUCAGCUUUUCCGAAUAUCAAAGAGCCUCCGUCUACUGAGAAUGAGCUACAGGCUUUAAGCUAAAAGCUUCCAGAAUACAACCUGUCUUAUUGAAUGACUGUAAGGUAGCAUUUUGCUCUGAGGUAUCAAGUCACCUCCCUAAAAGAUGGCCAUUGGGAAGUACAAAAGCACACCUCUGAACACCAAGAAACAUAUUUAGCACUGCACACUCAAAUUCCCCCACCAACACCUUUCAAAAACAUGCAGCCCCUUUAUUUCAUCCACUCAAACAUCAAGGUUGGUUGGUUACAUAAGCUAUAAGUCUGUUUCUGACUCUAAGCCUGUGGAGGGUCAGGGAUGAAACGUUCACAUCUCUGUUUAGGAAUAUACACAGAGGAACCUUGAAUGCAUGUGUUUUGAUUAGGAUGGCAAUAAUUAAAAAUGAAAUCAUAGGAAUGAUAUUAGGGAAUAAUGAUUAGACCAAUUUAAUAAAGACCUCUAUCACCACUUCACUAAAAAUACAUUUCAACAUGUUGAUGAUUUAAUCGAAGAUUGCUGUAUUGCAAUUCCCAGCUGCGCAAAACCUAUUCUCCAGCCUGAUCAUUAUAAUCUUGUGCUUUAUUAAACAUCUGAAAGGAAUGGUGUAACGGUCCUUCAAGGACAGCUCUAUUAGAAAAAAA
rnacentral:sRNA from 1 species